GGGCCUAUAGCUCAGCUGGUUAGAGCGCACGCCUGAUAAGCGUGAGGUCGGUGGUUCGAGUCCGCUUAGGCCCACCA
rnacentral:tRNA from 2 species